GCACUUAUUUGUUACUAAUAUAAAUAAUGUUUAUUUUAUUUUACCAAGCAAUUCGAUUAAAUAAUUUAAAUAAUUAUUUUUUCCGAAUAUAAGCGACUCCAAAAAUUUUCCUCUUUGGGAACGAGAAAAGUUACUUAACGUUGAAGGAAGCUUAAUUUAACUUCUUAAGAAUCUGAUGGAAUAAUCUAGACGUCACUUACACCAAGUGUAGUUUCAGGGCAGACUUUAUUGCACAUGGCAUGAGGAUCGGGCGUGAAGGAAGAAUCUAACUAAAAUUAAAACUCGUGAUUCUCACUCAGGUGAUCAUUUAUAAACAUCUUAGAACAUUGUUGAAACAGCGAGAUGUUAAUGGAUUUCAUAAAAUGUUGGAGGAAUUGUGUAAUCUGAAAUAACCAGAAUAUACAGAUUUUAAGUAUUUUAAGUAUUACUAUGUAAAUAAUUGUGAAUAUAGGGCAUACUGCUAUCGUUUACAUACAGGCCUUAAUAACAAUAUGCACCUUGACAGAAUGCAUAGGUCAAUAAAAUUAUAUUUGAAAGGCAAAAAUGUUAAACGACUGGAUAAAACAAUUUGAGCAAUCACGAGAUUUAUUCGGGACAAACUAAUCA